rnacentral:rRNA from 1 species
UACAGAGGAACCAAGCGUUGUCCGGAUUGACUGGGCGUAAAGCGCACGCAGGCGGAUGCGCGCGUGGGGUGUGAAAUCUGGCCGCUUAACGGCCAGGCGCCAUCCCAUACGGCGCGUCUGGAGUGAUGCAGAGGUCGAUGGAAUUGCCGGUGUAGUGGUGAAAUGCGUAGAGAUCGGCAGGAACACCCAGGGGGAAACCAGUCGACUGGGCAUCUACUGACGCUGAGGUGCGAGAGCGUGGGGAGCGAACCGG